AGCGAACGCUGGCGGCAGGCCUAACACAUGCAAGUCGAACGAACCUUUCGGGGUUAUUGGCGGACGUGUGAGUACCACGUGGGAACGUGCCUUUAGGUUCGGAAUACCUCAGGGGAACUUGUGCUAAUACCGCAUGUGCCCUUCGGGGGAAAGAUUUCUCGCCUUUAGAGCGGCCCGCGUCUGAUUAGCUAGUUGGUUGAGGUAAUGGCUCACCAAGGCGACGAUCAGUAGCUGGUCUGAGAGGAUGAUCAGCCACAUUGGGACUGAGACACGGCCCAAACUCCUACGGGAGGCAGCAGUGGGGAAUCUUGCGCAAUGGGGGAAAGCCUGACGCAGCCAUGCCGCGUGAAUGAUGAAGGUCGUAGGAUUGUAAAAUUCUUUCAGCGGGGACGAUAAUGACGGUACCCGGAGAAGAAGCCCCGGCUAACUUCGUG
rnacentral:rRNA from 1 species